UACAGAGGGGGCAAGCGUUAUUCGGAAUUAUUGGGCGUAAAGGGCGCGUAGGCGGCUUGGCAAGUGGAAGGUGAAUCCCUCGGCUUAACCGAGGAACUGCCUUCCAGACUGCUUUGCUUGAGGCCGGGAGGAGGCGAGUGGAAUUCCCAGUGUAGCGGUGAAAUGCGUAGAUAUUGGGAGGAACACCAGUGGCGAAGGCGGCUCGCUGGACCGGUUCUGACGCUGAGGCGCGAAAGCGUGGGGAGCAACGGGG
rnacentral:rRNA from 1 species